ACGGUAGCUCGUCGGGCUCAUAACCCGAAGGUCGCAGGUUCAAAUCCUGUCCCCGCAACCA
rnacentral:tRNA from 2 species